UAAGGAAUAUUGCUCAAUGGGAGAAAUCCUGAAGCAGCAACGCCGCGUGGAGGAUGAAGGGUCUAUGACUUGUAAACUCCUGUAAAGAAGGAAAAAAUUCCCAUUAGAUGGGAGAUGAUGGUACUUCUGGAGUAAGCCCCGGCUAACUACGUGCCAGCAGCCGCGGUAAUACGUAGGGGGCAAGCGUUGUCCGGAUUUACUGGGUGUAAAGGGCGCGCAGGUGGGCUUAUAAGUCAGUGGUGAAAUCUCCGAGCUUAACUUGGAAACUGCCGUUGAUACUAUAGGUCUUGAAUUAUCUGGAGGUAAGCGGAAUAUGUCAUGUAGCGGUGAAAUGCUUAGAUAUGACAUAGAACACCAAUUGCGAAGGCAGCUUACUACAUAUAAAUUGACGCUGAGGCACGAAAGCGUGGGGAUCAAACA
rnacentral:rRNA from 1 species